GCGAACUUCUAAACCUUUGACGAUUGACUCAUGUUGCCUCGNNNNUCCUCCCGCCAGAGGAUACAUCAAAACUCCUGUUUUAACGGUGUUGUCUGAGCUACAAGCAACGAAUCAAAACUUUCAACAACGGAUCUCUUGGUUCUGGCAUCGAUGAAGAACGCAGCGAAAUGCGAUAAGUAGUGUGAAUUGCAGAAUUCAGUGAAUCAUCGAAUCUUUGAACGCACAUUGCGCCCCUUGGUAUCCCGAGGGGCAUGCCUGUUCGAGCGUCAUUUCACCACUCAAGCCUAGCUUGGUGUUGGGCGACGUCCCUUUGGGACCCGCCUCGAAACUCUCGGCGGCGUGGCACCGGCUUUAAGCGUAGCAGAAUCUUUCGCUUUGAAGGUCGGGGCCCCGUCUGCCGGAAGACC
rnacentral:rRNA from 1 species